rnacentral:misc_RNA from 1 species
UCCGGCUUAUCACCGGCGGUUUCUUUAGAGUGCCCAACUUAAUGAUGGCAACUAAGGGCGAGGGUUGCGCUCGUUGCGGGACUUAACCCAACAUCUCACGACACGAGCUGACGACAGCCAUGCAGCACCUGUCACCGGUCCAGCCGAACUGAAGGCCCCUCUUUCGAGAGGCCGCGACCGGGAUGUCAAGGCCUGGUAAGGUUCUUCGCGUUGCGUCGAAUUGAACCACAUGCUCCACCGCUUGUGCGGGCCCCCGUCAAUUCCUUUGAGUUUCAGCCUUGCGGCCGUACUCCCCAGGCGGGGCACUUAAUGCGUUAGCGCCGGCACCCAGGGGGUCGCUCCCCCAGGCACCUAGUGCCCAUCGUUUACGGCGUGGACUAC